rnacentral:rRNA from 1 species
GACAGAGGCCCCAAGCGUUAGGCGGAAUUACUGGGCUUAAAGCGUGUGUAGGCGGAUCGUUAAGUGUCUUGUGAAAUCCCACGGCUCACCCGUGGAACUGCUGGGCAUACUGGCGAUCUUGGGCCAACUAGGGGCAGCCGGAACAAGCGGUGGAGCGGUGAAAUGCGUAGAUAUCGCUUGGAACGCCGAAGGUGAAAACAGGCUGCUGGGGUUGCGCCGACGCUGAGACACGAAAGCCAGGGGAGCAAACGGG